rnacentral:rRNA from 1 species
GACGAACGCUGGCGGCGUGCUUAACACAUGCAAGUCGAACGGAAAGGCCCUGCUUUUGUGGGGUGCUCGAGUGGCGAACGGGUGAGUAACACGUGAGUAACCUGCCCUUGACUUUGGGAUAACUUCAGGAAACUGGGGCUAAUACCGGAUAGGAGCUCCUGCUGCAUGGUGGGGGUUGGAAAGUUUCGGCGGUUGGGGAUGGACUCGCGGCUUAUCAGCUUGUUGGUGGGGUAGUGGCUUACCAAGGCUUUGACGGGUAGCCGGCCUGAGAGGGUGACCGGCCACAUUGGGACUGGGAUACGGCCCAGACUGCUACGGGAGGCAGCAGUGGGGAAUAUUGCACAAUGGGCGGAAGCCUGAUGCAGCAACGCCGCGUGCGGGAUGACGGCCUUCGGGUUGUAAACCGCUUUCGCCUGUGACGAAGCGUGAGUGACGGUAAUGGGUAAAGAAGCACCGGCUAACUACGUG